GACGAACGCUGGCGGCGUGCCUAAUACAUGCAAGUAGAACGGAAAGGGAGGGGCUUGCUGGGCUGGAUGAGUGGCGAACGGGUGAGUAACACGUGAGUAACCUGCCUUGUAGCGGGGGAUAACUUCAGGAAACGAUAGCUAAUACCGGAUAACAGCAGCUGUUGCAUGGUGAGGGUUGGAAAGGGGCGACGGCUCGACAACGACAUGCGGCUGCGUAGUAUUAGCUAGUGGGAGGGGUAAAGGCUCACCAUGGCGGGGAGACGGAGCCGACGUGUGAGGGGGAUCGGCCGCACUGGGACUGGGCCGCGGCCCAGGCUCCUACGGGACGCCGCAGUAUGCUAUCUUCGGCAAUGGACGGAAGUCUGGCCCAGCGAGGCCGAGUGUGUGAAGACGGCUUUCGGUUCGUAAAGCUCUGUUGUGGGUGAAGAACGGGUGUGGGCUUGGACGGAGCGCGCUUGGCGGUAAUGGGACAAGAAGCACCGGCUUACUUCGGU
rnacentral:rRNA from 1 species